UUUAUGGUUUCUGCCAAGGACUUGUUGCAAAGUCUGGGGAAAAUGCGCAGUGAUAGAAAAAAUUGUAUUUUUGGUACCGACCGCAGAUAUAAAAUAUUUUAAAAAACUGCCAGCAAGACGUCGCCACUGGAUUCUGAGUAUCUACUAUCUGAUGAUCUGAUGUUAUCUGAUUUAAACGCUCGACAUUAGUAUAAUUGAAUGGAAGCCAAAAUUUACAUUAACGAUUCUGGUAAUGCAGAGUUAUUAUCUAAUAAAAAAGAAGAAUCAUCGAGAAAACUCCUAUGGGUUGAUAUCGGUCAUUUUUCUGAAUUAUGGCAAUUUUUAAUUUGUUCAUUUGUAGUGUUCAUUUUUUUUAUCCCGUAUGGAUACCUACAAGAAGCAAUAUUUGCAAUUAAAGGUUUUAAGCCAUUUGGAUGGUAUUUGACUUUGGUGCAGUUUCUUAAUUAUUCAAUAUUUGGAUUAAUAGAGAGUCAAUUCAAUCAUACACAACGAAGGAUACCACUAGUCUUGUAUCUUUUAUUGGGACUGAUAUUAUUAGGUUCAAUGGGGUUUUCAAAUGCCUCACUUGGUUACUUAAAUUACCCGACACAAGUUAUAUUUAAGUGUUGCAAACUGAUACCAGUUAUGAUUGGUGGAAUAUUAGUACAGCAAAAAGUAUAUAAAGUUGUUGAUAUAGUAGCAGCAUCAUGUAUGUGUGCAGGAUUGAUAUUAUUUACUUUAGCUGACAAUAAAGUUUCACCAGAUUUCAAUCUUAUAGGUAUAAUUUUGAUAAGUUCUGCGUUAUUUUGUGAUGCACUUAUAGGUAAUUUUCAAGAAAAAAUGAUGAAAAAACAUAAUGCAUCCAAUGCAGAAAUUGUUUUAUAUUCCUAUUUAAUAGGAUUUGUAUAUUUGUUCUUUAUAUUAUUGGUGAGUGGACAACUAAGAGAUGGGACAGAAUUCUGCAUUCAGAAUCCAGUGACUUAUAUAUACAUAUUUUUCUUUUCACUCUCUGGAUUUUUCGGAGUUCAAGCUGUACUUGCUUUAAUCAGAACUUGUGGGGCUUUAGUUGCUGUAACUGUGACUACGUGUCGGAAAGCUGUAACAAUAGUGAUAUCAUUUUUAUUGUUUUCAAAGCCAUUCACUUUUCAAUAUGUUUGGGCUGGAUCACUUAUUGUAUUAGGAAUUUAUUUAAAUGUUUUAGGAAAAACAAAUCAUUUUGACUUAAAAAUGUUUUUUAUGAACUCGAGUAAAAUAUUUGGAAAUAUAAGAAAACGAAGAAAAUCGCCAAUGAUAGUUUAAUUUCCAAAUCAAUUAGAAUAAUACCAAGUAUUGUUAAUAUUUGUUUUUUUUUUCAUUGAUCAUUAAGCCUGGCAACUUGGGACUUGCCCGAAGAAAAAUGCCGCCCGUGAACUGAGGUUUGAACCAGCGCCGGUGUGCGUCAUAACCGACGCCUUAGUCCGCUCGGCCACUCCGUCCCCUUUACAAUUUUUAUAUUAUAUAAAUGUACAAGUAUCGAUUUGAUAGAAUUUUAAGUAUAAAAACGUUUUUAUUUAUAAUCAGAUCUAUUUAAUUGAUUCAUUGUCUACUUAAUAAAAUUGAUAAUUAUUCUAAUAUGAAUCUAUUUCUAUAAUACAAUGUAUAAUAUAAAAAAUCAGGCUCCUUAUGGUUAUAGAUAAAAUUCUCUUCUACCUAAAAUUUUUACUAUAGGUGGUUAUACUUAAAAUAUUUCAGUAACCCAGGUUAUUGGAAGUACAAAACCUGGUUUAUAUGCCGUAUUUUUGUAAGGUGUUAUUACGCCCUCUUCACUGUUUGAAAAAAAAGUGUUAUAUGUAUGAUAUACACUUACUAUGUACCACUAUAUAUUCAAGAUUUUCAAGGAAGAAAUUUUAGUUCAAGAAGUUACAUGUGCAAUAUACAAGCGAUACGUAUCGGACUCAGACUUCGAUACGAGCCGACAUAGAUUUCAAAGAAUUUUCAUUGGAGUAUGAUGAAUUGAUAUCAAUGGAAAAUAUAUAUGGAUUACGAAAAAUGAACCUUAUUAAACCAAUAUCAACAUUUCCAAAUGUUUGUACAAUGUUGGCGGGAGUGGCAGCUGCUGAACCUCAUAGUGCUGAUGUUGAACGUUUAAUAAGUGCCAGCAACUUAUUAAAAUCACCAUUACGCUCAACUAUGAAUAUU
rnacentral:misc_RNA from 1 species